UACGUAGGGUGCGAGCGUUAAUCGGAAUUACUGGGCGUAAAGCGUGCGCAGGCGGUGAUGUAAGACAGGUGUGAAAUCCCCGGGCUUAACCUGGGAACUGCAUUUGUGACUGCAUCGCUGGAGUGCGGCAGAGGGGGAUGGAAUUCCGCGUGUAGCAGUGAAAUGCGUAGAUAUGCGGAGGAACACCGAUGGCGAAGGCAAUCCCCUGGACCUGUACUGACGCUCAUGCACGAAAGCGUGGGGAGCAAACAGG
rnacentral:rRNA from 1 species